AUGACACAGAGCCCGGGCUGGAAACAGCAUCUCUUACUCCACCCAGGUUUGAGCUUUCUCAGGGCUGAGGCAUUUCAGGCGAUGUUGCACAACCACCGCCAGAACACCCUGACCCCGGCGCUGCCCCAAAGCCGUGCAGGGAUGCUCCCAGAGAAUCAGUGCUCCCUGGGCACCAUGCAGCCAUCCCAGGGAUGCUCAUCCCACAGACUUGAGCCCCUUUUCUUCCCUUUUCCAGCCCCCUGGCCAGGUGUUUCGGAGCAGGGACGGGCCGGGGUUUCCGAGGGCGGGGGGUUGUUGACACCCCGAGCCCGUUCCUGCGGAUGUGCCUCUUGCAGCACCUUCCUGCGGCUGCGGCUGCGCCUCCUGCCCCAGAGCCUGCGGUUGGGGGCUUUCCUGUCGUGCCAAUGCCACGAGGCCGGGGCAACACCCAGGACAAUACCAGGCAGCCCCCCCGAGAGCCCCUCCGAGCAUCUUGGGGUUGGNNNNNNNNNNNNNNNNNNNNNNNNNNNNNNNNNNNNNNNNNNNNNNNNNNNNNNNNNCGCUUUUCCGCGCUCCCUCCCUUCCCCGCCCGGCCGGAGGUGCAGGCGGAGGGUGGCCCACGACGCCCCGCGGUGCCGGUGCUCGGGCUGCCCUGCCCCCCCCGUGCCAGCCCUCGCCGGUGAAUCCUGCAGCUGGGAUCCCACCGCGUCCAUCGGCACAGGUCCCAUGGCGCUGGGCCGAGCCCUGCUGGUGCUGCUGGUGCUGAGCCCCCUGUGGGCCUGUGGGGCUGAGCUGCUGGAGCCGGGGCUGCCCUGGGGAGGGCAGUGGGUCUGGGGGGAGGCCAAGCCCCUGCACCUUUCCCGUGGGAAGAGGGAUGACCGUGGGCAGGAGCCCAGUGCCACCGCAAUGAUCAACAGUGACGAGAGCAAUGGUGUCUCUGUGCCACCACCAGCACCUGGCACCAAGGCCAGCCUGCUGCAGGUGCCAACCACAGCUGAUCCCAGGGAUGAUUCCCCCAAGCCUGAGCUGCUCCUGAGCUCUGCAGCACCAGUGCCAAGCACCAACACCAGCCUGCUCCGGGUGCUUGCAGUGUCCACCACAGCUGAGCCUAUGGAUGAGACAGAUUCCCCUAAACCCGACCUGUUGGAGGACUCUGUGACAUCAACAGUGACCAGUGCCAGCACCAGCCUGCUCCGAGUGUCUGUAGUGCCCACCACAACUGCUCCCAUGGAUGAGACAGAUCCCCCUGAUCCCGACCUGCUCCUAAGCUCUGCCCCACCACCAGCACCAGGCACGGAGGCCAGACGGGCACUCGUGGAGCCAACCACAGCUGAUACCAUGGAUGAGACUGAUUCCCCUGCUCCCGAUCUGCUGCCAGGCUCAGAACUCGGCACACCAUCAGCAGCCCAAAAGAGCAUCGCCACCACCACCCCCAGCUGGCUCACGGCACCCAUCGAGGAGGGCACAGCGACUGACGACCUGGACAGCAGCUCCUCCACGGGGCCACGCUCAACAGCCCCCCCAGCCCUUGUCCUCACCAGCACGGGCUACAAGAAACCCAAGAAAUCCGGAGCUCCGCCUGCAUCCACCCUCCCGGCCACUUGGGACACGACGCCGGUGAGCACCGCGGUGCCCUGGGAGCCCAGCGGGGUGAUGAGCAAGUGCCUGCUGGCCAUCCUGCUGCUGGGGCUGGUGGCCGCCACCUUCCUGGUGUGCACGGGCGUGCUGGGGACGCUGCUGUGGCGGCGGGCGCGGACGGGAGAGCGGCGGUUCAGCCGCACCGAGAUGGUUUGUAUCUCCUCGCUGCUGCCCGACGCCGAGGCGGCCGCCGGCCCCGUCCUGUCCCAGCCCCGCGGCACAAGCUGCUGCUGCCCGACGGCAGCUCCGAGCCCGAUGGAGACAACCUGA
rnacentral:lncRNA from 1 species